GUGAAGCUGGAUUCGCUAGUAAUCGCGCAUCAGCCAUGGCGCGGUGAAUACGUUCCCGGGCCUUGUACACACCGCCCGUCAAGCCAUGGGAGCCGGGGGUGCUUGAAGUGCGUCGCCGCGAGGCGCGCCCUAGAGCAAAACCGGUGACUGGGGCUAAGUCGUAACAAGGUAAC
rnacentral:rRNA from 1 species